rnacentral:rRNA from 1 species
CCUACGGGAGGCAGCCGUGAGGAAUAUUGGUCAAUGGGCGGGAGCCUGAACCAGCCAAGUCGCGUGAGGGAAGACGGUCCUAUGGAUUGUACACCUCUUUAGGCGGGGAGCAAUGCCGGGCACGUGUGCCCGGAGUGAGAGUACCCGCAGAAUAAGCAUCGGCUAACUCCGUGCCAGCAGCCGCGGUAAUACGGAGGAUGCGAGCGUUAUCCGGAUUUAUUGGGUUUAAAGGGUGCGUAGGCGGAUUUUUAAGUCAGCGGUAAAAUGUCCGGGCUCAACCCGGGCCGGCCGUUGAAACUGGGGAUCUUGAGUGGGCGAGAAGUAUGCGGAAUGCGUGGUGUAGCGGUGAAAUGCAUAGAUAUCACGCAGAACUCCGAUUGCGAAGGCAGCAUACCGGCGCCCGACUGACGCUGAGGCACGAAAGCGUGGGGAUCGAACAGGAUUAGAUACCCCGGUAGUC